UACGAACCAUUAUUGUGGGAAUAGAAACCGGUAAGUUAUCUGUAGUAUAUAUUGCAAGCAAUACCAGUUUCUUUAGUGUGUUAUCUCUCAACAAGGCAGAGAUAUUUUAGUCCAUCUUUCAUUUGAUCAUGUUGCAAUCUCUUCUUCCGAAUCACACGUACCGAUUUUCUGGCUCGUGAAGCGGUGAAACAUUGUCGCGUAAAAAAAGGAAAAAGAAUCGAUUCAAGUACAUAUAUCAACAAAAGGACGGCGGCCUUUCGUGUUCCUUUAUGUCGUCUAAAUGUUAAAUCGGUACAAGAGAAGAAGAGAAGAAACUGAUCGGUAGCAAGCCGGCUUUACGAACACGUCCGGGGGGCCCCGCGUAACCAGUUUGUGAUUGGUUAAGCUGUGUACCACGUGGCGACGUUGCGCGGGUGGGGAUUGGCCAGCACGGCCGCGCUCCGCGGGCGAAAGCAGCGAGUUUUGUUCUAGUAUUUACCCCGCGGUGUAAAGUUGGCUCUCGCGCUCUCCGGUGUCCUUAAGUCACGUUCCAUUGUUCGCGUCGCUUCUUCAAGUUUCUCUCACACCGUGGAGAAUCCCCAUUGUUCCUGGGCUUGUGCUUUUUAGUGGUUGAACGCCAUACGAAUUGUGCGCCAUGUUCGCGCCGCGAACAACACGCGAUUCACCGGUUACCGUAGCAAGUGAUACGUUUUUUUCGUAAACAAGUUGUGUGUGCGUUUAAAUCCCACUCUGGAUUUUACUGGCGGUGUGUAUGACUACGUAUUCUUGCCGUUAGGAAGGCAAAAGUCUAGUGGUAGUAAACGACGAGGCGAGAGCACGCUGUGGGAUCGUGGAAUGCGCGCUGACAGAGAACGGAGGCUCGUUAACCGGAAGGGUUGGAGGGCAGAGCAUGAGGGUCGGCGUGGAAACGCGGGAGGAAGAUUCACAGCUCGGCGAAGCGGUUAAUGACUGGCGGUCACCAAACGCAGUUGGACACGUCUCCACCGGUUGGAGAUGAGCACGAAGGAAGCGAUCAGCACGAUGACGACCACCGUUUCUUCAACGGGGGCGACGCUCGCGUCGUCGCCGAAGCUCGACGUCGAGGCAGAGGACGACGAGGAGGAGCCAUCGACCACGUUCGACGCGUUGGAUAUGGAUCUGGUGAACGGACCGAAUCCGUGGCUUCCGGCCUAUGGCUUCCAGCUGCAGCAUCGCUCCCAUUUUCAACCUACGCACGAGGAUCUACGGACUAAUGAUACGGUGCUGGUGCAGCAAGUGGAUUUUCUGGAGACCAUUUUAGAAGAAACGUCCGACGAUCUGCAAAGCGAUUCCGAUCGAAGUGGAACCACUUACUGGGUCGGCUCGGACUCCGAAACUGAAAGCGUGAUACACAUACGAGCGAAUAGAUUAGCUGACGAAAGGUUGGACGGGAGCGGGAGCGAGUGCAAUUCGGGGGCGGCGAGGAAGAAGAGGCGAAGGGGCGGCAAGUACAACGGCGGCAACGAGCGGGAGCAGCAGCAGCGGGAGCACCAGGCGGUGUUUGACGAUUAUCCGGCUUCGCCGAGAUCGUCGAGAUCGUCCGCCUCCUCGAGAUCGAGCUCCCUCCUUCAAUUCGAGUCGUUGGAGAGGACCUGCGCCACCCUCUCGCCCUCUAGCUACAGCUUCGACUCGUUGGAGUAUCCGAACCGGUCGAACGCCUCCCAUCCCGGGAACACGUCUCCGGAUAGCCUCGAACAGGACUACGACAAGGCUCUGCCAAAUGGUUUUGGAAACGUGGACCACUUUUCCAGAAUCAGGCCUUACCGUAGCUUCGAGAGUCUGGACACGUGUCAGAAGGAGGAGGAGGAGUUCGGCCACGGUUGUCUCACCAAUGGCUUCACGCCUUUGUACCUGAAACGAAACGCGGAGCUGUCCAGGACACGCAGCAACGGCUACCACCGCCCCUCAAGAUUCACGGAUAAAUCUCAAAGCGCGCCCAGUCUCCUAACCACCGUCGACGAGUCUGCACGCGUGCCAUCGUCACGCUCCUUCUUCCCCACCUCGAACCACUUCGCCACAAUUUCCUCGAAUCUGUUCGAGAAUUACACGAGAGUAGCCAGUGUCCCCGUUGAUUUGAACCUGUGCGGCGUCGAGGCGACGCGAGACGAUGAUACGUCCUCUCCAGUGAGCGAUACUUCCAGUGUUCCACGCGAGCCCGACGAAAUGGCGGAAGUGAGCAGUAGCGACAGCGGCGUGCAGAGCGGCGAGAAGAGGCAAUCGAGGAAGAGUUUGGAAGAAGAGGAGGAGGCGAAGAGGAAGAAAUGCUCGAGCUCGGUUAGGACCCAACAGGGAUCGUCGUACAACGCGAUCCUGGACGGGGGGAUGGUCGAGGAGGAGUGCGUGGGAGGGGAGCAUUGCUCGAGGAAACGUGUCACUUCGACGGUGAAAACUCAGGAUCGUGCGUUGGACGGUAUGGGCGAUACGAUCGAGCAGUUGAAACGCUCGCAAUUCGAGGAGGGUAGCUCGAACGGUAACGCGGCGAGCGACGGUAUCGACGGAGGGACGACGGUUGAGAGAACGCCGUCCGGAAAGCAACGGCCAUGGAAGGUGAAGAACGCUACGAGCUGGCCCAGCAGUUCGAGAUAGACGAGAGGAAUUUUCGGUCGGGCAAGUGGCGGAGGGAAAUCGGGAACGAGGGUGAGAAAGCGGGGGGGAGAAGCGUGGGGCGUAAACGUAAAGUGUUGAACAACGCGAGUUACGAGCUUGCCCAACAGUGCGACUACAUCAAAGCUCUCCAAUCGUGCAGAGGUGCUUUCCAACGGAUGGACGCGUGCGACGAGCUCGAGGAGCCGAUACUCGCCGGCAAAUCGUCGCUCAGGGUCUCGGACAUGGUGCAACAGAUGAGCAGCAGCUCCACGUCCAAUCUGACUACGGCUUAUCGCAACGAGGAACGCUACAUGGACACGAGGCCGUAUUCCAA
rnacentral:misc_RNA from 1 species